UUCAUUUCCUUCUUUAAGACUCUAGUACAUUAUGUCUUUAUUGGUCAUUCAAGUGGGGCAAAGAAAAUAUCCUUUUAAAACUCAAACAUACUGGGUGUUUGUCUUGUAACCUAUCAGAGGAAACAAAC
ensembl:snoRNA